UGCCCAGACCACAUGAAGGCGAAGAGGUUGCUGAGGUUUCCUCCCCAUUGGGCCAUGACCUCCACAAAAGCAGUGGCACAACAGACCCAUCUCAGUCACCCCAGCAUCCAGCACAGGGCUGGUCACAGCAGCAUCCACAACUGUCCACUGUCCACUGAGUGACCAAGUGAAUGAAUGUGUGCAGCCCAGUGCGACCCGGAGCUCCCUUCCAAGCAAUCUGUUCCUCCGGCUUGCAUGCCUCUGGCUGUGGGAAGCUCACUUCCUUAUGAAGAAUCCGUUUCCACCUUUAGAUGGUUCUGUCCAUCUGGAAGGCUGGCCUUAUGGUGAGCUGGAAGCUGCCCCUCUGGAGCUGCCCACAUGAGCCACACAGAACAGACCUGCUGUCUUUCCCCACUUCAUCCUUUCAUCAAAACCCCACUGCUUUGUGCUCCAGGCUGAGCGGUGGAGAUCUGGCUCCUGCCCACUAGCCUGGGUCACCACAUCCCGGCCCCUGGCUUCUUUGCUGUUUCUCGUGCACAUCAUGCCUGAUUCCCCGCCCAGCACCUUUGCACCCCUAGUCUUGGUGGGCCCCUUCUCCUCCAUCAAAUCUCCGCCCAAACAUGUCCUCUCCAGCGGAAGUCAGCCCUUCCCUUGUUCUGUUGCGUCCUCCUGUUUAUUUCCUUCACUUGCCAGCUCAUCUCAGCUUAGCUCAUCUUACUUCCUUAAUUUGCAGUCUUUAUUUCCAGCCACCAUGAGAACAGAAGGUCUCUGGAGUGGGGACCUCAUCUCUAACCCUGGAGCCUUCCACAGGGCCUGGUACACAGGCAUUAAUAACUGUGUGCCCAAUGACAUCAUCCCCAUCCCCAUCACCAUUCUCUUCAUAGAGGCAGAAGAGCCAUGAAGCGGCUAAAAACCAGGCCUCUGGGCCAUACUGUCGGGCGCUGGGGCUGAAUCCGGGACUCAACCAGUGUUUCCAAGCAGCCUCAGAGAUAGAAGCAGGCAGGGCUGAGAACGCUGAUUCCCCACUGCUCAAGCAGGCAUCUUGAUUUUGCCCAGAAUUUAGGCUUUUUCUCUUAAAUCUUUCUCAUUCCCCUGUAAACACAGAAUCCCUUCAGGAUCUGCAGGGGAAAGGAAAUUCAUGUAUAAUGAACAUCUCCUGUGUGCCUCGUGAGUUUGUUUGCUCUUCCUAACAACCCCAUGAUUGAAGCCCCUGCUUUACACAUGAGGAGCCUGAGGCUCCUCAGAGAGGCUGAUGCACUUGUUCAAGGACACACAGCUGGGAGAGAUGAACCUGGGACUGCACCUCAGUGCUGUGCGACCCCAGGAUCUUGGGGUUUGGAACUGGAGGAGUUCUGUGGAAGUUGGAGCCAGCAUGUUCUGUAGAGCCAGAAACAGGCUUUGGCUGCCCCUGAAGCCUGAUCCAAAGGUAGCGAGUUCCUCCACUGGAGGAUACCAACAACAUGCCGAGUAAGCUACCACGAAGCCUGUGCAGUUGACACGUGUUGGCUCCGUUCCAACAACUUUAGGAGGAGGGAACCAUGCUCAGCCCUAUUUACCCUGAAGAAAUGAAGACUGAGAAGUCAGUGGAAGGCUCUGGGACAGAGUGGAAUGAAUAUGCAGUGGAAGUAGUCAUUACAGCAGUUCCAAUGCGUGCGUCACUGCUUACGUGGGACACCGCAGUGGUGUAGCCAACCCUGGGCUCAGGGUGCUGCAAACAACACUCCACUUAAUGUUUACAGCAACCCAAGGAAAGCCAGUGCCAUUAUUGUAGCCAUUCUCCAGAUGUAGAAAUGGGUUCAGAAAGGUUAAGUAAUUUGCACAAGGUUACACAGCUUGUCAGUGGCAAAAAAAUGACAGUCACAUGACCGACUUCAAGCCCCACGAGAAAUCCCCAGCCGAUGGGGCUGCUGCUUCUGAGAUGAAGCAACUGUGAGCCUCUGUCAGGGUCAGGAGCCCCAGUCCUCUUUCUAGGGCCACUUGUGACGUCCCCAUCCUUGUGGGCCUCAGCAGAAGGGAGAGUAUCCCUGGGGAUGUCCUCUGGCCAUUUCAAGGACAAAUUGUAGAAGGCUCUCGGUUUGAGGGGCCAUCUUUCCUGUGACCGUCUCUGGCUCUCACAGGUGCAAAGAAUCACCCUUUCAAGAGGGUCUUUGGAUCUAGAACCUUCCACACUCCUCUCCCAUCUGAUCAGCCAUACCACUCUGAAAAAGCAAUCUGAAGGAAAUAUUUUAAAAUUUGAGAACAGCUUUUGGCACAAAGGUAUGCAUCACAGCUUUGUGCAGAAUAGCAGGAAACAAUUUUCAGAUUGUGAGCCAUGGGAUCAGCCUCUUGGAGGAGAAAGAACUUAGAAUGAAAGGGAAAUGCUCAUGAAAUCUUACAUGUACUGAGCAGGAGACGACAGAGCACCAUCUAAAGCACAGGGGUAAGCAAAGGAACAAAAGGAUGUCAGCGAAUGUCGAGGACGCUUGGGGUGAGACAGAGCUGGGGACUUUUCUAUGUUUUUUCCUUAUUGUCAUAUUUACCAAGUUUAUUUAAACAAGCAUUACUUUUAUAGUGGGUCAGUGGGGAGAGAGAUAGAGAGACCUCUAUUUUAUGCAACUAAAACCGAAACUGCUUCUGGAUGCAGACAAGAACCAGGUGUGCCACCAUGGCCAGGGUGCAGGCUCUCCCACUGCCAGAUCCUGUGAGGCUGACAGAUGUUGAAUUUUCUAAUGCUGCCCUUCUCUGAGGAACACUGGACAUCUCAGUUAAAAAUGUUGUACCUGGGUUGCCAGAAAUUCUUUCCAAAGCACUUACAGUCUUACCUCAGGCUUGGCUGUGGGGCGUCUUGGCAGUUCUUUUGCCUGCAACUCUUGCACGUAUUUUCCAAAGCACAGAAUCGUUUUUAGUGGAAGUAGUAGCUUUCCCCUAUAGGAUCUUCAGCGCAAGGGCUGGGGAAAAGGUGGGCAGUGGGUGUGGCAUUUCAGCUGGCUGAUGUCCAUAUUCACAUGAAGGGAGUUCAUCUGAUCCAAUGGGCUUGACCAGGGAAUUUAAUUAUUAUUUGGGUGUACCAGGGCUGAGGGCCCUUUCCAAGCCAGGCCAAGUCUGCAAUGUCCCCUGUGGCCAGGGGAGCCCCGAAGGUCCAGAGACCAAGGAAGGAGCCCAGAGCAGGCCAGGGUAGCCCCUGGUCCUGGGUCUCUUGUGCCCCCAGAUGCUGUUUCUCCCCAGCUGGAGCUGGUCUGCUGAGGGCCUUCAGG
rnacentral:lncRNA from 10 species